rnacentral:rRNA from 1 species
UCAGGACGAACGCUGGCGGCGUGCCUAAUACAUGCAAGUCGAACGGUCUUUUCUAUGGAAGCUUGCUUCCACUGAGAAGAUAGUGGCGAACGGGUGAGUAACACGUGGGUAACCUGCCCAUAAGAGGGGGAUAACAUCCGGAAACGGGUGCUAAUACCGCAUAGUUUUCUUGAUUGCAUGAUUGAGAAAGGAAAGACGGCCUUUGUGCUGUCGCUUAUGGAUGGACCCGCGGCGUAUUAGUUAGUUGGUGAGGUAACGGCUCACCAAGACGAUGAUACGUAGCCGACCUGAGAGGGUGAUCGGCCACAUUGGGACUGAGACACGGCCCAAACUCCUACGGGAGGCAGCAGUAGGGAAUCUUCCGCAAUGGACGAAAGUCUGACGGAGCAACGCCGCGUGAGUGAAAGAAGGUUUUCGGAUCGUAAAACUCUGUUGUCAGAGAAGAACAAGUUGGAGAGUAACUGCUCCAGCCUUGACGGUAUCUGACCAGAAAGCCACGGCUAACUACGUGCCAGCCGCCGC